rnacentral:snRNA from 1 species
UUAUCCUCUCAGGCCUUUUGGCUAAGAUCAAGUGUAGUAUCUGUUCUUUAUAGUUUAACAACUAUAAUGCCGUACAUGUACGGCUGUUGUUAUUCUAAUUUUUUUGCGCCUGGGUUUAUGAGCUCUGGCUUGCUAUCUCAUGAAUCCACUGAUGUCCUUUGCCUUACACUAUUUGCAAUGUGACGUCGAGUUGGG